CUAAAAGGGAGACUACUCCGAAUUAAUCCCAGUAACCCCUAACAAAACAGAAAAAUGAGUGCUGUGCAAGAACCUUCAGCUUUGACAACUUCAGAAGUUGAUUUAUCAACAGUACGGGUUGUGUUAGUUUUAAAUGGCUUACAAGUUACAUCUGGAAUAUUUAAAAAAACUAAACCUAAAAAUGGAUCGGUCAAUGUAGAAUUUGGAGAAAGAUCUUUUACAAUGACGGCAGAAAUUAAAGAUAAGAAAGGCAUUCCCACAAAUUAUGUACAAAAAAUUAAGAAAUUACCAGGAGAAAUAGAUAAAGAUGCUUGCAGUUUGGAGUAUAAGAAAGAUCAAGUAAUUAUUAUAUUAAAGAAGAAAGAGGAAAUAUCGUGGGCUGUACAGUUAUCAACAUCAGGAUUAGAACAAGAUGAAGACGAGUAAUAAUAGAUAGGACAGUCAUCAAACUUAAACAGAUCGGAGAUAUAUCAUAAGCACCAACUUGACUUAUAAACACUGACUUAUGUCACCUUUGCGAUUGUGACAACUGAAUGCAACUGUGAGUUACAUAAAAAAGCAACAUAAUCUGUCUUGUGAUGCAAUGUGAAUGUGAAAAAAGCCAGUUGCAGUUAGUUGCACAUAUUAGUUUCACUCAAUCACAUCAGAUGACAAGGGUGACGUAAGUGGGGCGUUAGACCAUGUGUUCGGUGACUAAAACAUUCCAAACAGCUUAAAACAACAGAACAUUGUAGUGGGAUAAAUUAUUUCAAUGGCACAGAACACAAUGAAAUACAAUUACUGUUUAUUAUAUUGUGUGAUGUGAGUAUUGCUU